rnacentral:rRNA from 1 species
CUGCUGCCUUCCGUAGGAGUCUGGGCCGUGUCUCAGUCCCAAUGUGGCCGGCCAACCUCUCAGUCCGGCUACUGAUCGUCGCCUUGGUGGGCCGUUACCCCGCCAACUAGCUAAUCAGACGCGAGCUCAUCUCAGAGCGAUAAAUCUUUGACAGCCAGGGAGAUGCCUCCCAGCUGUAUCAUGCGGUAUUAGCGGCUGUUUCCAGCCGUUAUUCCCCACUCCAAGGCAGAUUG